GAUGAACGCUGGCGGCGUGCCUAAUACAUGCAAGUCGAGCGAACGGACGAGAAGCUUGCUUCUCUGAUGUUAGCGGCGGACGGGUGAGUAACACGUGGAUAACCUACCUAUAAGACUGGGAUAACUUCGGGAAACCGGAGCUAAUACCGGAUAAUAUUUUGAACCGCAUGGUUCAAAAGUAAAAGACGGUCUUGCUGUCACUUAUAGAUGGAUCCGCGCUGCAUUAGCUAGUUGGUAAGGUAACGGCUUACCAAGGCAACGAUGCAUAGCCGACCUGAGAGGGUGAUCGGCCACACUGGAACUGAGACACGGUCCAGACUCCUACGGGAGGCAGCAGUAGGGAAUCUUCCGCAAUGGGCGAAAGCCUGACGGAGCAACGCCGCGUGAGUGAUGAAGGUCUUCGGAUCGUAAAACUCUGUUAUUAGGGAAGAACAUAUGUGUAAGUAACUGUGCACAUCGUGACGGUACCUAAUCAGAAAGCCACGGCUAACUACGUG
rnacentral:rRNA from 1 species